rnacentral:rRNA from 1 species
AUACGGAGGGUGCAAGCGUUACUCGGAAUCACUGGGCGUAAAGCGCGCGCAGGCGGCUAUUUAAGUUGGAUGUGAAAGCCUACGGCUCAACCGUAGAACUGCAUCCAAAACUACUUAGCUAGAGUGUGGGAGAGGAAGAUGGAAUUAGUUGUGAAGGGUUAAAAUCCGUAGAGAUAACUAGGAAUACCAAAAGCGAAGGCAAUCUUCUGGAACACUACUGACGCUGAGGCGCGAAAGCGUGGGGAGCAAACGGGAUUAGAAACCCUAGUAGUCC